ACUAUAAGAAUCACAGUACUUCUUCGUUGAUACAGACAGUUACGGUUUUACUUCUGAGAUUGAUCAAAAUCUAAUCUUACAAUUUCAGCUAUGUGGCUUCUUGGAGGAGCAGCAGUGUCCUGGCUUAUAGGAGUACGAUUUUGACUCAGUCAAAGAAAACUAGGUGCCGCUACAAGUUAGUUGGUACAUCAGGCGUAAUAAUUGGAUGAAAAAUUUACAGCAUGUUUGGUUCGACGGAAUGGCCAUUCCAUUCCGCCCCUAUUCCACGCGCUACAGUGACCCGUUUGUUUGGUUGAAAUUUGACCACUGAAUAGCUAUUCCGUGCGGGCUCUAUUACGCGUAAACGCUGCAUAACCAUUCAGAGGGUCGGGCGCUGAAUGCCUAUUCAAUGGCUCUCGUAAUAGCUUUUUUUUUUUAUUUCGGACGAAAAUCUCCUCCCACUUCCACUCAUCAUUUAGACGAAAAUCUUCUUGGGUUUUCAUAAAAUGCAUAGAAUACUCUCUGUUUUUGGAUUUUGGGUGUGGCGGAUUUACGUGUGCUAGAAAAUAUGGAGAAAUCGAUGUUGAAGGCGGAGCUUUCCAAAGAAAUGCGCACGUCUCCCACCGUGGAGCCCAGCGAUUGUGGGAACGGCGAGGCUCCGAUCAAUUAUCAACGAUUGUUACAAUCUUGGAGAAGACAGCCCUGUGUUUGAAAACUUGUUUGAAUUUUGUCAAAUUUAUGCUGGUGGGACAAUAGAUGCUGCAAGAAGAUUAAACAAUCAGUUAUGUGAUAUUGCUAUAAAUUGGGCUGGUGGUUUACAUCAUGCCAAGAAGUGUGAGGCAUCUAGCUUUUGUUACAUCAAUGACUUGGUUUUGGGAAUCUUGAAGCUUCUGAAGUAUCAUGCAUGUGUAUUAUUUAUUGAUAUAGAUGUACAUCAUGCCUGUGUAUUCUAGUUAUAGACGAACUUAGAUUCAUGCUUACAUUGCUAAUGAAAAUUGAUUUUAGAGUUUUAGUAACCCACAUCUACUUUUUUCGACAAUCUGAUGAACUGGCUAAAAGUGUAUCCAAAAUCAUCUAUUCUCAAUUUGCAGACCAGGUGGAUAUGUCUGAAGUGCAGGAAACUAAAUUUGAUGCCGAAAUGGCUGCAAUGACCUGUGUUCCAUGGGGUACCCUUGAAAGCGUUGGGGACCAAUCAGGAUAUGUCAAUGGCAUAAAUAUGAUCCUUAGUAGUAGCAUUCCUGUACUUGGGAGCAUUCUUUCACCUAUAUACUUCCAGUUCUUCUUGGACAAGCUUGCAUCAUCGGUUGGCCCCCAAUUCUACAUGAAUAUUUUCAAAUGCAAGCAGUAUCAAAAACUGGAGCCCAACAUGUACUUUUCACAUAUUGUUUCUCUCAGUUUCCUUCUUGCUUUAUUAAUCAUUCUAACCACUAAUUAGUUUGAUUAAUGUUGUAGUCUCUGACUCUGUGUACAUUUUGAAUUUUGCCCUUCGGUCAACUUUUUGAAUUUUACCCCAUUUAAAGGCUUUAUUAAUAAUUCUAACCACGAAUUAGUUGGAAUAUUUCCUAGCUAAAUUGUUACCGCUAAUUAAAUGUAGCUUAUAAUAUUUUUUUAGUACAUACUAACUAUUUAAACAUAUCGGGUGAGGUCAAAACUUUCGACAUUUGGAUUUGGUGGGCCAACUGAAGUUACCUACGGUGGUAAUGCCUUGAAGUUUUAUGCUUCAGUGCGUCUAAAUAUAAGGAGAACAUGGCUUGUCAAGAAAGGAGAAGAGACUAUUGGAAGUCAAGUUCUUGUGAAGAUUGUGAAGAACAAGCUUGCCCCUCCAUUUAGGAAUGUUGAAUUUGAGCUUGAGUUUGGCAAGGGAAUAUCCCGGGAAAGGGAGAUCAUAGAUUUGGCAACGAAACACAAACUUGUUAUAAAGUCUGGCGCAUUCUACAGUUUCAACGACAGGAAACUCCAUGGCAAGGAAGCCUUCAGAAGGUUUUUAGCUGAAAAUAGAAGUGCUCUUGAAGAACUUGUGAUGAAACUUAGAGAAAAGCUACUUGAUGCUGAGAGCAAGAAGGAACGAAAAACAGAUAUCUCGGAUGAUUGUGGGGGUAAUUGUGGCGUUGAAAAGUUUUGUGUAUUCAAUGGAUGAGAUAAUACAGGAUCUUGUUACAAAUUUUCAAGGGCAUCCGACUGUCUUUCUCUCACAUUGUCCUAUUUCCAGCCAUAUUUACCAUGUUAACAAGGGAGCAAUUUAUAUUUGAAAAA